GACGAACGCUGGCGGCGUGCCUAAUACAUGCGAGUCGAACGAACCGCGACUGAGUGCUUGCACUUGGUCAAGGUGAGUGGCGAACGGGUGAGUAACACGUGGGUAACCUACCUCAUAGUGGGGGAUAACAGUCGGAAACGACUGCUAAUACCGCAUAGGACAUGGAAUCACAUGAUUCUGUGAGGAAAGGUGGCGCAAGCUAUCGCUAAGAGAUGGACCCGCGGUGCAUUAGCUAGUUGGUAGGGUAAGGGCCUACCAAGGCGAUGAUGCAUAGCCGACCCGAGAGGGUGAUCGGCCACAUUGGGACUGAGACACGGCCCAAACUCCUACGGGAGGCAGCAGUAGGGAAUCUUCCGCAAUGGACGCAAGUCUGACGGAGCAACGCCGCGUGAGUGAAGAAGGUCUUCGGAUCGUAAAGCUCUGUUGUUAGAGAAGAACAGCGCAUAGAGUAACUGUUAUGCGUGUGACGGUAUCUAACCAGAAAGCCACGGCUAACUACGUG
rnacentral:rRNA from 1 species